UACGAAGGGUGGCAAGCGUUACUCGGAAUUACUGGGCGUAAAGCGUGCGUAGGUGGUGAGUUAAGUCUGUCGUGAAAGCCCCGGGCUCAACCUGGGAAUGGCGAUGGAUACUGGCUCGCUAGAGUGCGGUAGAGGAGAGUGGAAUUCCCGGUGUAGCAGUGAAAUGCGUAGAGAUCGGGAGGAACAUCAGUUGCGAAGGCGGCUCUCUGGACCAGCACUGACACUGAGGCACGAAAGCGUGGGGAGCAAACAGG
rnacentral:rRNA from 1 species